rnacentral:tRNA from 1 species
AGGGACGUUAGCUUAGAUGGAUAGAGCAACAGCCUUCUAAGCUGUAGGCCGCAGGUUCGACUCCAGCAGUCUCUUCAA